UUGAUCAUCUGGUAUAUUUAAAAUUAUUCAUUUUCAAUUAGUCUAUGAAUUAGUCAAUGAAGUAAUUGAAUAAAUUGAAUAAAAAUAUAUAUAUUUCCUAUCUUCUGUCUCCUAUGCUAAUGGAAGAAAAGCUAGUCCACGAAAUAAAUUAAACGACAUAAGUACUUGAUCAUCUGGUAUAUUUAAAAUUAUUCAUUUUCAAUUAAUCUAUGAAUUAUUCAAUGGAGUAAUUGAAUAAAAAAAUAUAUUUCCUAUCUUCUGUCUCCUAUGCUAAUGGAAGAAAAGCUAAUCUAAAAGAUAAAUUAAACGUUGGAUCGGUUAAAAGAAAUCGAGAUUCCCCCUGAACUGGCAUCUGAGGCAAGCCUGCUCCGUCGAACGGAAAAUGUUCAUAUGGAUUCAUGGAUUUCCUUUUUCACGAAUUUUCGCACGAUCUUCCGUUUAUCCGAGAUAUUCUGAUACAUGGAAGUUUGAUGGUAUUUACAGGACGCAGCACGAAAAUUAAUGCGAGGAUACUUGAAAGAAUAGAUUCUUUAUUUAAAUUUCUCUCGUUUCUCUUUUUGCAUAAACGCACGAGAAAGUAAAUACGUCUCCGAAGAAAAAAUUCGAAAAUUCAGCUUCGAUCAUUCGAUUUCGUUUCCAAGAAAAUUUCGCGCCAAAUAAAAACCUCUCCAUAAAUCUCUCCAACUCCGUUUUUCGUGGAGAUAAAUGUAUAAAAUAACCAAAAAAGAGAGACUUUAAGGCUGGUAUUUAUCAUCUCGAAUCGAUCUCAAUUACCGCGAAACGUAUCGACGUUUGGCGAUCGACGAACGGUGAAUUAGCCGUUGGAGAGGUUGAAGGAGGAAACGGCGUAUCGCGUGACAUUCGAAAUUGUACGAGAAAGCGGGCGCGGAGGGAGGGAGGGAGGGAAGAAAAGCGAGCGGCGCGGUGGAAAGCGAGCGGAUCGCGAUCGUGAUCGGGAGCACGCUCGUUAGAGAGGCCGCCUGCUCGUUACUCGGCCGCUUCUGCAUCAAAUCCGGCAAUUAAACAGCGGCGAUCGCGUUUGCGACGAGAUAAAUACUCGGUCAUUUCGCGAGACGGGACUUAUGGGUCGAUGAAGAUCAUGCGGGGACAAGAGAAAGGUAGGAGGGACGACAGGGGACGAUCAAGCUGGUUCCUGGACUUCUAUCGAUCUAGCAGGAUCUAGCAGGCGACCUGGACGAUGACCUCUUGCCGGAUCCAUUUCCAGAAUGUCUGGAUGUGAUGAUCAAGGAUAAUAUAAAAUACACAAAUUGUCCAAAUUGAUUUGAAGUAACAUAAAAUGGGAAAAGGAAAAUCCUAUAUUGAUUUCUUAGAAAAAUUUGUUAGUGAAAGAUCUUUCAGAAAAUUAUGUUCAAAGAUUGGAAGCUUGGAAGUUUAUUUUUUAAAAAUGAAAAAUUACGUGUUAUUAAUUCACAAGAUCAGGAAUAUCAUUUCUGAACAUUAACAUAUUAUAACGACGUGAAAUUUUAUUGCUUAUUUAUUGUCUAAAUUGAUUUGAAGUAACAUAAAAUGGGAAAAGGAAAAUCCUAUAUUGAUUUCUUAGAAAAAUUUGUUAGUGAAAGAUCUUUCAGAAAAUUAUGUUCAAAGAUGUGAAAUUAGAAGCUUGGAAGUUUAUUUUUUAAAAAUGAAAAAUUACGUGUUAUUAAUUCACAAGAUCAGGAAUAUCAUUUCUGAACAUUAACAUAUUAUAACGACGUGAAAUUUUAUUACUUAUUUAUUGUCUAAAUUGAUUUGAAGUAACAUAAAAUGGGAAAAGGAAAAUCCUAUACCGAUUUCUUAGAAAAAUUUGUUAGUGAAAGAUCUUUCAGAAAAUUAUGUUCAAAGAUUGGAAGCUUGGAAGUUUAUUUUUUAAAAAUGAAAAAUUACGUGUUAUUAAUUCACAAGAUCAGGAAUAUCAUUUCUGAACAUUAACAUAUUAUAACGACGUGAAAUUUUAUUGCUUAUUUAUUGUCUAAAUUGAUUUGAAGUAACAUAAAAUGGGAAAAGGAAAUUCUAUAUUGAUUUCUUAGAAAAAUUUGUUAGUGAAAGAUCUUUCAGAAAAUUAUGUUCAAAGAUUGGAAGCUUGGAAGUUUAUUUUUUAAAAAUGAAAAAUUACGUGUUAUUAAUUCACAAGAUCAGGAAUAUCAUUUCUGAACAUUAACAUAUUAUA
rnacentral:lncRNA from 1 species